rnacentral:rRNA from 1 species
GAUGAACGCUGGCGGCGUGCCUAAUACAUGCAAGUCGAGCGAACAGACGAGGAGCUUGCUCCUCUGACGUUAGCGGCGGACGGGUGAGUAACACGUGGAUAACCUACCUAUAAGACUGGGAUAACUUCGGGAAACCGGAGCUAAUACCGGAUAAUAUAUUGAACCGCAUGGUUCAAUAGUGAAAGACGGUUUUGCUGUCACUUAUAGAUGGAUCCGCGCCGCAUUAGCUAGUUGGUACGGUAACGGCUUACCAAGGCAACGAUGCGUAGCCGACCUGAGAGGGUGAUCGGCCACCCUGGAACUGGACCACGGUCCAGACUCCUACGGGAGGCAGCAGUAGGGAAUCUUCCGCAAUGGGCGAAAGCCUGACGGAGCAACGCCGCGUGAGUGAUGAAGGUCUUCGGAUCGUAAAACUCUGUUAUUAGGGAAGAACAAAUGUGUAAGUAACUAUGCACGUCUUGACGGUACCUAAUCAGAAAGCCACGGCUAACUACGUG